rnacentral:rRNA from 1 species
UACGGAGGGUGCGAGCGUUAAUCGGAAUAACUGGGCGUAAAGGGCACGCAGGCGGGCUUUUAAGUGAGAUGUGAAAGCCCCGAGCUUAACUUGGGAAUUGCAUCGGAAACUGGUUGGCUAGAGUCUUGUAGAGGGGGGUAGAAUUCCAUGUGUAGCGGUGAAAUGCGUAGAUAUGUGGAGGAACACCGGUGGCGAAGGCGGCCCCCUGGACAGAGACUGACGCUCAGGUGCGAAAGCGUGGGGAGCAAACAGG